rnacentral:rRNA from 1 species
GACGAACGCUGGCGGCGUGCUUAACACAUGCAAGUCGAACGGAAAGGCCCUGCUUUUGUGGGGUGCUCGAGUGGCGAACGGGUGAGUAACACGUGAGUAACCUGCCCUUGACUUUGGGAUAACUUCAGGAAACUGGGGCUAAUACCGGAUAGGAGCUCCUGCUGCAUGGUGGGGGUUGGAACGUUUCGGCGGUUGGGGAUGGACUCGCGGCUUAUCAGCUUGUUGGUGGGGUAGUGGCUUACCAAGGCUUUGACGGGUAGCCGGCCUGAGAGGGUGACCGGCCACAUUGGGACUGAGAUACGGCCCAGACUCCUACGGGAGGCAGCAGUGGGGAAUAUUGCACAAUGGGCGGAAGCCUGAUGCAGCAACGCCGCGUGCGGGAUGACGGCCUUCGGGUUGUAAACCGCUUUCGCCUGUGACGAAGCGUGAGUGACGGUAAUGGGUAAAGAAGCACCGGCUAACUACGU